CGCACCUUGCGCCUUUUGGUAUUCCAAAAGGCAUGCCUGUUUGAGUGUCAUGUAGACUCAACCCUCGAGGUUUUAUUGACCUUCUUGGGCUUGGACUUGGGCGCCUGCCUUCAUUGGCUCGCCUUAAAAGCGUUAGUGGGACGACCUGAAAGCACGAUGUAAUAAGUUUCAUCUGGCUCACGGUGACUGGCCCGCUCACAACCCCCAUCUUUAUGACUCUGACCUCAAAUCAGGUAGGACUACCCGCUGAACUUAA
rnacentral:misc_RNA from 1 species